rnacentral:rRNA from 1 species
AACGAACGCUGGCGGCAGGCCUAAAACAUGCAAGUCGAACGCCCCGCAAGGGGAGUGGCGCACGGGUGAGUAACGCGUGGGAACGUGCCCUUCACUACGGGACAACGUCGGGAAACUGACGCUAAUACCGUAUAAUGACUCCGGUCCAAAGAUUUAUCGGUGAAGGAGCGGCCCGCGUCUGAUUAGCUAGUUGGUGAGGUAAUGGCUCACCAAGGCUACGAUCAGUAGCAGGUCUGAGAGGAUGAUCUGCCACACUGGGACUGAGACACGGCCCAGACUCCUACGGGAGGCAGCAGUUAGGAAUAUUGGACAAUGGGCGAAAGCCUGAUCCAGCCAUGCCGCGUGUGUGAUGAAGGCUCUAGGGUUGUAAAGCACUUUCGUUGAGGAAGAUAAUGACUGUACUCAAAGAAGAAGCACCGGCUAACUUCGUGCCAGCCGCCGCAGUAA